rnacentral:rRNA from 1 species
AUUGAACGCUGGCGGCAGGCCUAACACAUGCAAGUCGAGCGAGCGGCGGACGGGUGAGUAAUGUCUGGGAAACUGCCUGAUGGAGGGGGAUAACUACUGGAAACAGUAGCUAAUACCGCAUACCAUCAGAUGUGCCCAGAUGGGAUUAGCUCGUAGGUGGGGUAAUGGCUCCCCUAGGCGACGAUCCCUAGCUGGUCUGAGAGGAUGACCAGCCACACGGGAACUGAGACACGGUCCAGACUCCUACGGGAGGCAGCAGUGGGGAAUAUUGCAGAAUGGGCGCAAGCCGGAUGCAGCCAGGCCGCGUGGGUGAAGAAGGCCUUCGGGUUGUAAAGCACUUGCAGCGAGGAGGCGUUACUCGCAGAAGAAGCACCGGCUAACUCCGUGCCAGCAGCCGCGGUAAUAC